UUGUUUUGUUGCGAGCCUCGCUAAGUGAACGGAAACUGAGUCCUCCACCAUGUUUGCCAUGCUACUUUCUGAAUGAAGACAUUAUCUCCAUCGAAGCAGAGCUUCGAUUUGAAGACAAAAUGUCAAGUAUGUUGGCACGGUUGCGCUUGGCAAAAGAAGUUGUGUCAAAAACCUGCGGCCGCGAAAUGGACUUUGUUGACAUUGAUGAUUACUUGAAGGGUAAUCAUGCCAAAUAUGCACUGAUAACACUGAGCCUCCAGCUGUGGUCAAAGUAAUGUAGCAAAAUUUUAUCAUUAUUUCUUCUUGCACGUUGUAUUUAAGUUUUCAGAUACGCUUU
rnacentral:lncRNA from 1 species